rnacentral:lncRNA from 1 species
CUCCACUGGGGCUGCUUUGACCUCAUUGCAGGCUACGAUGUAAGGUGCUGCUGUGACCUGCUCAUCUCCCACAGACCAGCCACGUGCAGUGCUGCUCUCUCGGUUUUCUGGAAACUGAGGAUAUGGCAGCAGGAUGUAGCACUGUAAGGAAUGUCUCAGACAGCAUCUCCAGUUGUUUGUUCACUUUGUGACAGGAGCACAAACCUUGUGAAUAUAACUUGGCUCCACAGGGAGGAGGGCUGGAAGGGAAUGGCAGGAGGUGGACAGAGUUGCUAGUUGUUUAUUUUAAGAGUUAAAGUAUUUUGAAAAGAAGGUCCCAUAUGAUCUCUACCAUGUAAUUCCAUGCCAUGGUCAGCAGCAUUUUAUAUAGGUAAGCCAAAACCAUAAUUUUUCACAAUCUUCUGUCAUCCCAAAUGAUAUUUAACGGUAAUUAUAUAUUUUUGCCUUUUCAUAUUGAGCUGAUAUGAAUACUUUUAUAUCUAUAGACAGCAUU